GGAAUAAGAAGUGGUAGGAUUUUUUCCAUCCUUCAUUCCGGCUGGUGGGAGAGGCUCCUCUCCUCCCAUCAACUACUGCUGGGUGAAGGGGUCCAGAGAGAAUGUUUCCAAAAACAUGGGCUGCCUGCAAGAAGGGAAGCAGGCGUCCUAUUUCUGGACUGGGUGCUUGUUGAGCUACAAAUCCUAGUCCUUAUCAGGCUGCUCCUGGAGAGGAAUGCAAAAGAGUUCUUAAUCCCCAGCAAUGUUAGUUUUAAGCCAACCAAGAAGUUGAUGGCUGUCUCUUGCCUGCAUAAUUUUGAAGGUAGAAGAUCGGCUGGAGUUACCCGCUUAUGGCCAGGUAAGGCAAAAGUCAGCAAGGGCUACAUAUUAUCAGAGCCCUAGCAGUCUUAAAAGCAACUCACCCAAAAGGGCUGGCCAGUGACGGGAGGGGCUUUAGCAGAAGGAUGCUGGGAAUUUUCUGCUAGCGACAAGAGAUGGAAGAGGUGUGAGUAGCCAGACAGUGAAAUACGUCAAAGAUCAGGGAAGAGGACACCCUGCAGGGGAGCCAGGAAGGAGGAUAUUCUAAGGAACGUGAAAAUGGACCUUGAGAUAGAAAGUCAACUUUUUGAUGGUGCCCAUGACAGAGGGCACCCAAAAGCCACAUUAAAACAAACAAACAAAAAAAUGAGUAAACAAAAACUUGACACAUAAAGCAUUUGUAUUUCUUUUUCCAAGUCCUUCUUCCCAUGCUCCCAAUCCUAGACAGUCAAAAGCAUAAGAGGGGCGGUGGAAGAAACAGUUAACUGGAUAAAAAAUAAAAUCAAGAUCAUGCCUCUCUCUCCCACAGGCAAGUCUACAUGCCAUCCAUCAGGCCUGAGCAGAGCAGGAGGGGAAGAGCAGGAAGUCAGACUGAAGUUGAAUCUUGGCCUUGGAGAGCCCUGGAUAUAGUAACAGUAGACGGAGGUCGGGUCAGGAUGCACUCCAGAGGAUUUUCUUUGCUAAGAACUCAUGUUUUGGGGGAAAUAAACUCCUUCCCCGACUCUACAAAUGAUGCCUAUGGCUCAGGCCAAGAGACUUCAGCAUAAGCUCACGUCCUGGACACAUUAUUAGUUCAAAAUGACAGUGACCGAACGUCUGGGGCUUGGGCUCCAGGGGCAGGUUUCAGCACUGACAGCGCAGCUGCAGAGAUCUUGGAGGCAACGCCUGGCGGUGCUUCUAAGUCCCGCUGCCCCAGCGAUGGCCCCAGUACCUGGGACUUGUCCUUCUGGCCCUGCACCCAACAUCCGAUCCAGCCCAUUGGACUUGUACACCUGCUUCUUCUCUGACCUCUGGAUUCGUGAAAGAUAAUCUCAGGACACCGUCAGCUCAACAGUUACAGAACUACUGUAGUCGCGUCUUCAGGAAUUGCUUGCUUUUUAAGGAUGAAAAUGCUGGAGGCAAACACUGUUUAACAGGCAAGCCUCCUGUGGCAAUAUUUGGAGUCGCAUCCUGCCAGAUUUGGAUUACAGACAGCCCAUACGAUGUCUCAUCCAACAUUUCAAGGAGAACUUAAGCUAUAUCCCCUAGAAUGUAAUGGGACAGUUAUAUUUAUCUAAAUAAGACUUCCCAGCGUAUAACACAGCUACCUUGAAGCAUGACUGCACCAACACUGUGCUCAUGUUAGGUUUAUACCAAGAAGACAGCCAAAGCACAUGAAGACAUUCUGCAGUGGCUACAGACUCCAGGACUCCUGGAAAAACCACAUGUGGUUUUGUAUUAAGUUUUGAAGGAAUGGUGUUGAUUCUUGGAACCAAAUGUUUUAUUCUAUUUUAUUUUAUUUGGGGUAAUUAUGUUUGUUUGUUUGUUUCUUUCUUUCUUUAUGGUGGAGGUGCUGGGGAUUGAACCCAGAACCUUGAUGCAUGCCAAGCAAGUGCUCUACCACUGAGCUAUACCCUCCCACCCCUCCAAAAUUGUAUGUCUCAUUGUCAUAAUUAAGUCUUCUGUGUAGAAUGAAUAGAAUGUAAAAUCUAUACAUGCUUUAAACUUCCUAAAGGUUGAAUUUGCAUCUAUUUUACACUGAUAUUUUUGCAGUUAAUUUAUUUGUCAACAAUAGUAAUUUUGUUUAACUUUUUUGUCCUAUUUGUGGUAAACUCCAGAGGCAUGGAGAUCUUUACAUUUCUACAGUAAACUGUGCAGUUUAUUUUACACUUUUCAUUUAGGCCUGCGAGAAACAUUUUCUCAGAUAUGCUGAUUAGCUACUUAGCCAAGUUUUUGUCAUUUAGAGAUCUUCCCUGUUUUAUUUUGUAAUGACAGCUGUUAUGAGAUUGUCUCUGUUGAUCAGUGGAUGACUAUAAACAAAGCAGAAACAAUUGGCUCCUAAGGGUAACACCACUCACUUUUCACCAUCUACUUGCUGUGUCUUAGCUCUACCAGUAACAUAAUGUUUUAAGGCUUUCUUGUAGAAGAUUCUUAUAGGUAGUUCUCUAUGGAUAUUUAUACAUUUUCUUUGAAUGUGCUUAUGAUCAAUGUCAGAGGAAAAAUUUUUAUUUGUUAUAAAACAUAAGCAACAGCUAUUAAAAUUGAGAGCUAAGUAGUUUUUCCCAAAAUAGCAGUUUCUAGAAUUGCCAGGGGGGGAUUUUGAGAAACAGCUUUCCUAUGUCCUGCCCCAGACAUAUUAAAUCACACACUGUAAGGCCUCAGAAUCAUAAAAAACCCAAAACGAAACAAACAAAAGCCCUUCCCAGUUUAGGGAGCCAUUGUUUUAAAACGGGUGGUGAUACCAAAUUUGCCAGAGUAACAGAGAGAUCUUUAGGUGUUCAUUCUUGUGUAUUCAGAGGUCAAAAUUCUAGACUCUGGGAGAAGCAAACUGAGGAUCAGGUCCUACUAAUUAGGAGAUAAAGCAGCAAGUUAAAAACAAAGCAAAAUGACUACAAAAUAGUCAAGUUAAUUGAACGAUUUGAAUCAUAAAUGUACAAGUCCUCAGAAAUGUAUAUAUUUUAUGUAACUUACAAAUUAUAGUAAAUCCAGCUAUUUUAAUCAAGAACAAGUCAAAACUGGUCACCAUAAUAAUAAUUCUUUGCAUUGGAAUGGUGAUUUGUUGUUUAAAUAUACUUUGAUAAAUAGAAUCUCUUUUGUCUUCAAAACUGAGAGAGAGACAGGGAAGUGUCUGGUAUUCUCAUUUUGAGACUCAGAGUUCUUUCCAGGAUUGCAGAGAAUUGGAGCCACGGCACAGAAAUCCCUGCAUGCUGAUCCAGUCAAUCAGAUCCCAAAUUUGAGAGGCAGAAUUUAGGAGGUUGCAUUAUCAGUUAUCUCAUGUUAUUUUAGGGUGAAUGGAAGGAUAUAAUGCAUUUAUUGUAAAAGUAAAGCUUUACAACUUAAAGGGGAGCUUUAUGUAUCUAGAAACUCUCAUUCCUCAAUGGAUUACUUAAGAGAACAAUGCUACAUCAAUGUUUAGGUUGGGAGGGAUAUUAAAGUUCAUUUAGUGUAGUUCUCUAAUUUUGUAGAUGAAGACCAUAAGACUCAGAGACUUGUAGAGUUUGCCUAGUGAUUCAAAGCUAAUCUGACCAAUUUUGGUAAAAAAGGACAUCUUUCCUAAGUUCCAUAAUUAUGGAUUUGUUAAACAGUAAACUACAUUGGUGAGUGAUUUAUGUUAGUUCAAUUUGCUAAUAUGUUUAACUUUAAAUUUCACUUUUCUUGCAACAUAAAAUAUUUUGUAAUGCUUUAAAACAAAGUAACCUCUUUAUUCCCUAAAUAAGUUAUUGUAAAACUGUGAUAAAAUUGAUAACUUUAUGUCUAAGGGAUUUCACCCUCACCCAAAUUACAAGUUCGCUCUCUUUAUUUGAACACUAAUAAUGGCAUUUUCAAAGGAGCAGCAAAAGUAAAAUAUUUUCUUUUAGUUUCUUUGUAAAGUUUAACCGUUUUUACUUUGCUAUUAUGGUAAUAGCUAGAAAAUUACAUAAAACAAUAUUUUGAGGGCACGUUCUCCUAGUUGAUUUAAAUCACUGUGCUAACUGAAAAGUUUAAUAUUUCAGAAACUCCACAAGUUACUACAUUGAUCAGUAUCUGAUUCAUGCAUUGUGGAUAUAAAAAUGUAUUUAAGGAGAGGAAAUUGAUUCUAUGUGCUUCUUAUCAUCUGAGAAGUUAGUGAAUGUGGCAAUAUUUUAAAGGAGGGGGUAGAAAAAAAUGUUCUGCUUUAUAAUCAAAAUACUGUCUUCCUACUAUGAGGUCAUUAUUUUCUGGCACUGUGAAAUUCUUACAUGAAGAUGUUAAAGUGGAAAUAAACCAUAAUAGUUUAUAAAAUAUUUUCAGUAUGACAAUAAUCUGAAAAUAUGGGGAAAAUUGUCAUCUCUGACUCAGGUCAAACAAGACUGGGUAAAGUGUGUGUUAUGGUUCAAUGCGAAAUAAGUUUCUGUCUUACCAGAAAUUUUCUAUCAGUGAGUCUCUCUUCCUCCACUGCUGUGAAGAAAGAAGUGUAGAGCCCUUGAAAUUGUUACUAGGAUGAGUGUGGCAGUUUGGGGAUGAAGAUAACACUGCUGAAAGUAAAGAAGAAAGAAGGAGAAAAUCUGUGUCUUGAUUGACAUUCAGUUACACCUGAAUCAAAUCAGUUCCAAAGACUGGUCUCUCUUUGCUUCUACUUAUUAAAGCCAAUUAAUGCCCUUUAUUUUUUUAAGCCACUUUGAGUCGGGUUUUCUGUUGCUUAUAAAUGAAUGCCCCUUAAUGGGCAGAUCAUUGUAAAACCUAAAAUUGUACCUUAUGCUGCUGUCAUUGAUGCUGUAUUUUUCUGUGGGUUUUUAUCCAAUGAUGUGAGUGUUGUAGAGCCUGAGGCUGUAUAAGUGUACCCAUUUAUGAAUCAAACAAAUAAACCCUAGGUAUAAAAACA